GAUGAACGCUGGCGGCGUGCCUAAUACAUGCAAGUCGAGCGAACAGACGAGGAGCUUGCUCCUCUGACGUUAGCGGCGGACGGGUGAGUAACACGUGGAUAACCUACCUAUAAGACUGGGAUAACUUCGGGAAACCGGAGCUAAUACCGGAUAAUAUAUUGAACCGCAUGGUUCAAUAGUGAAAGACGGUUUUGCUGUCACUUAUAGAUGGAUCCGCGCCGCAUUAGCUAGUUGGUAAGUUAACGGCUUACCAAGGUAACGAUGCGUAGCCGACCUGAGAGGGUGAUCGGCCACACUGGAGCUGAGACACGGUCCAGACUCCUACGGGAGGCAGCAGUAGGGAAUCUUCCGCAAUGGGCGAAAGCUUGACGGAGCAACGCCGCGUGAGUGAUGAAGGUCUUCGGAUCGUAAAACUCUGUUAUUAGGGAAGAACAAAUGUGUAAGUAACUAUGCACGUCUUGACGGUACCUAAUCAGAAAGCCACGGCUAACUACGUG
rnacentral:rRNA from 1 species